CUGCCCUUAAUCUCCUUAGCAGCGUGCUCGGUAGAAGUUCAAAAAAUGAACUAUAAAAUUAUUUCGGUAUUUCUUUAUCUAUCGGUGGUUCUGAGCAUAGUGGUGCAAAAUAAUGCGUUUGUUCCCCCCGAUACAACAAAUGGUAAAAAUUUCAGAAGACGGGCUGCCGAUAUUUCUGGCUGCAAAAAGCAACAAGCUGUCAUCAAAUCUUUCUGUGAGCAAGUGCUUCCCUGCCCAGGUGAACGUAAAGUCAAGGAAGAACUCGACUUCAAGAAGACUGCGGACUAUCAUCAGUAACUGCUGACACCGAUACCAGAUUGAGAAUCAAGGAAUGGUCUUUAAAAUACUGCGUAAUAAAAUAAAAAUGGUUAUAGUAAGAAAAAAAAUAAACUUGUAGUCGAU
rnacentral:lncRNA from 1 species